AAGGACGUGCAAGGCACAUGGCCCAGCUCGGAGGCAAGAAGAUGAUGGCAAAAUUGUGAAUUUAGGACUACAUGGUUCAGACAAUAGAUCUAGCUGAAAACCGAAGCCCUGUUUAUAUUCCAGAACUAAGUAUUCCGGUAAYGCAGUCUGUUUAAUCUAGUAUCUGAUGAGAAUGGAGGAGAGGGAAAUGCUGUACAACAUAUUCACUGCAACAAAGUCCUAGCAAAGAAAACGUAAAUGCAUGAAUAUGACACAAACACCCCUUCUGUCAACACAGGCUCACAGAGACUUGUUUAAUUUGCAAAAGGCAUGUCUCCUGAGUGACU